rnacentral:rRNA from 1 species
UUAAAAAGCUCGUAGUUGGAUUUUGGUUAAGAGGGCGCGGUCGGCCGUUUGGUCUGUACUGCGUUGUCUUGACUUCCUGAUGAGGACAUGCUCUUGGUUAACGCUGAGACAUGGAGUCAUCGUGGUUACUUUGAAAAAAUUAGAGUGUUCAAAGCGGGCUUACGCUUGAAUAUAUUAGCAUGGAAUAACACUAUAGGACUCCUGUCCUAUCUCGUUGGUCUCGGGAUGGGAGUAAUGAUUAAGAGGAACAGUUGGGGGCAUUCGUAUUUCAUUGUCAGAGGUGAAAUUCUUGGAUUUAUGAAAGACGAACUUCUGCGAAAGCAUUUGCCAAGGAUGUUUUCAUUAAUCAAGAACGAAAGUUGGGGGCUCGAAGAUGAUUAGAUACCAUCCUAGUCUCAACCAUAAACGAUGCCGACUAGGGAUUGGUGGAUGUUAAUUGAUGACUUCACCAGCACCUUAUGAAGAAAUCAAAAGUUUUUUGGGU